rnacentral:tRNA from 1 species
GAGGGUAUAGCUCAGUGAUAGAGUGCAUGCUUAGCAUGCACAAGGUCCUGGGUUCAGUUCCCAGUACCUCCA